AAAUGAAUUGACGGGGGCCCGCACAAGCGGUGGAGCAUGUGGUUUAAUUCGACGCAACGCGAAGAACCUUACCAGGUCUUGACAUCCCCUGGCAGUCUCAGAGAUGAGGCCUUCGGACUUCGGUCCGACAGGGAGACAGGUGGUGCAUGGUUGUCGUCAGCUCGUGUCGUGAGAUGUUGGGUUAAGUCCCGCAACGAGCGCAACCCUUAUUCUUAGUUGCCAGCAUGUAAAGAUGGGCACUCUAAGGAGACUGCCGGUGACAAACCGGAGGAAGGUGGGGAUGACGUCAAAUCAUCAUGCCCUUUAUGACCUGGGCUACACACGUGCUACAAUGGCCUGUACAAAGGGCAGCGAAGCCGCGAGGCGAAGCCAAUCCCAAAAAGCAGGUCUCAGUUCGGAUUGCAGGCUGCAACUCGCCUGCAUGAAGUAGGAAUCGCUAGUAAUCGCGGAUCAGCAUGCCGCGGUGAAUACGUUCCCGGGCCUUGUACACACCGCCCGU
rnacentral:rRNA from 1 species